rnacentral:rRNA from 1 species
AUGCUUUUCUGGUUUGACCGAUGGGCAGGUGAUCGCCCUUUUGCGGCCCGGUUCCCUGACCUUUUUUCCAUAGCGGUCGAACCCAGGAUCUCUGUCGAGUCGGCCCUUAUUGACUUAGGGCGUCUCGUGUUCCGGCGGCCAUUUGGGCCGCUGGAGGUUGCCGCUUGGCAUGAGCUCCUUGACACGGUGGCCCUCCAUGAGCCGGACUUAUCGCAGCACCUCGACGACCGCCUAUCUUGGCGUCUCGAGCCCUCAGGUCGCUUUUCCAUGAAGUCACUUUACUGCGCCAUCGUGCAUGCUCCCGGACUAAGCGUCCUCGACUCUAUAUGGUCUAUUCACGUCCCCCUCAAGAUUAGAAUCUUCACGUGGCAAUGGAUCCGUGGCCGGCUCCCCUCGGGCGUGGAGGUCCUGCGACGCGAGGGUCCUGGUGAUGGUAUCUGCCCCGUAUGUGGGACGGCGGAAACCUCGAAUCACAUCUUCUUCUCGUGCGUCUCCGCCCAGUUUCUUUGGGGCUGCCUCUGA